rnacentral:rRNA from 1 species
CUGAGACAUGCACACAUCGCCCGUCACUCUUGCCCAAAGGUGAGAUAAGUCGUAACAAAGUAGGUGUAACGGAAGUUGCACCUGU